GUACUGAUGAAGAGUCCCAAAAUAGGACGAAACAGCUGUCCAAUAC
rnacentral:hammerhead_ribozyme from 1 species